GACGAACGCUGGCGGCGUGCUUAACACAUGCAAGUCGAACGGAAAGGUCCUGCUUUUGUGGGGUGCUCGAGUGGCGAACGGGUGAGUAACACGUGAGUAACCUGCCCUUGACUUUGGGAUAACUUCAGGAAACUGGGGCUAAUACCGGAUAGGAGCUCCUGCUGCAUGGCGGGGGUUGGAAAGUUUCGGCGGUUGGGGAUGGACUCGCGGCUUAUCAGCUUGUUGGUGGGGUAGUGGCUUACCAAGGCUGUGACGGGUAGCCGGCAUGAGAGGGUGACCGGCCACAUUGGGACUGAGAUACGGCCCAGACUCCUACGGGAGGCAGCAGUGGGGAAUAUUGCACAAUGGGCGGAAGCCUGAUGCAGCAACGCCGCGUGCGGGAUGACGGCCUUCGGGUUGUAAACCGCUUUCGCCUGUGACGAAGCGUGAGUGACGGUAAUGGGUAGAGAAGCACCGGCUAACUACGUG
rnacentral:rRNA from 1 species